AAAAGAUGAGGCAAUGUGUCUAAAUGGUAAUUGGCCAGCAGUUCUAAAAGAUCAAGUUUGGGUCAGCUACUUCAUUAUUUGCUCUGUGACUUUGGCCAACUUAACUGUUGUUUCCUGAUUUUAAAAAAUGAGGAGUGAUGAGGCUCCUAUGACAGCCACCUGAAAUCAAGUUUGUGUGCUCAACCCCACCCAGAAAUUUUAUAGGAGAAAGCCUUGUAUAUUGAAAGGAGCAAGUGUUUCCGGCUGGCGAUGGAUUUCUCACUGCCCAGCUUCCUUGUACUUUCUCAUGCUCUGGUUGGUGGCUUAUCCAGAUCUUAUGAGGAGGCUCUAAAGAUUACUGCCAGUGCUUUGGUGUUCUCAGAAGAACGUUCUCUAGGUGAGCUGGGAUGUACGUCAUGUAGCCCAGGAGACUUGGAUUCACAAAGCAAAUACACCCCCCUUUGGCCCUUUCCUGGGGUGUUCAUCGGACACCAGAUCAUCUCACCAUGACCUGCGAACUGCUAU